AUGAAUGACACGGUAACUAUCUGGACCAGGAAGUUCAUGACCAAUCGACCGCUCCAGAGGAAACAAAUGGUCACCAAUGUCCUUCACCACGGAAAUGCAACAAAAUGUACAAGAUCAUAAUAGGUGUCAUCUUCAUAUUAAUAGUUGGACUCAGAACCCAUGUUGGUGGUGGUUAAACAAUGGGCUUUGGCAUGCUAUCUGGUUCUUUGAAUUAUGCAAAGAAAAAUGAACUCAAACAUAGACUUGCAAGACACAGCUGACAUGAGAAGAAAACGACCUCGAGAAAACAGCAAAAGGAAUGCAAGGGCAGAAUGAAGUCAAGAGACUGCAAAGGCCAAUGUCAGUGCUGGCAAAAAGCAAAAGGAGUAA
rnacentral:lncRNA from 1 species